GUGAACCUACGGGAGGCAGCAGUAGGGAAUUUUCGUCAAUGGGCGCAAGCCUGAACGAGCAAUGCCGCGUGAACGAGGAAGGUCUUCGGAUCGUAAAGUUCUGUUGAAGGGGAAAAAGAGCGGAGAGAGGAAAUGGUCUCCGAUUGAUAUUACCCUUCGAGGAAGUCACGGCUAACUACGUGCCAGCAGCCGCGGUAAUACGUAGGUGGCAAGCGUUGUCCGGAUUUAUUGGGCGUAAAGCGAGUGCAGGCGGUUCAAUAAGUCUGAUGUGAAAGCCUUUGGCUCAACCGGGGAAUUGCAUCAGA
rnacentral:rRNA from 1 species